UGAACGCUGGCGGCGUGCCUCAUACAUGCAAAUCGAGCGAACAGACGAGGAGCUUGCUCCUCUGACGUUAGCGGCGGACGGGUGAGUAACACGUGGAUAACCUACCUAUAAGACUGGGAUAACUUCGGGAAACCGGAGCUAAUACCGGAUAAUAUAUUGAACCGCAUGGUUCAAUAGUGAAAGACGGUUUUGCUGUCACUUAUAGAUGGAUCCGCGCCGCAUUAGCUAGUUGGUAAGGUAACGGCUUACCAAGGCAACGAUGCGUAGCCGACCUGAGAGGGUGAUCGGCCACACGGGAACUGAGACACGGUCCAGACUCCUACGGGAGGCAGCAGUAGGGAAUCUUCCGCAAUGGGCGAAAGCGUGACGGAGCAACGCCGCGUGAGUGAUGAAGGUCUUCGGAUCGUAAAACUCUGUUAUUAGGGAAGAACAAAUGUGUAAGUAACUAUGCACGUCUUGACGGUACCUAAUCAGAAAGCCACGGCUAACUACGUG
rnacentral:rRNA from 1 species